GUGUUCUCUUCAGCAGCACAUAUACUAAAAUUGGAACAAUAUAGAGAAGAUUAGCAUGACCCCUGUGCAAGGAUGACACAAAAAUUCAUAAAAAAGAAAAAAAAAGAU
ensembl:snRNA U6 U6 spliceosomal RNA